UCGGCCCCAGUGUAGUUUUAAACAACGAGGAAAUUGAAACGGUCCAAGCUACCACUUUUCUAGGAAUAACUGUAGACUCCAAAAUUCAAUGGGGUGAGCAUAUAACUGGCCUCACGAAUAGACUAAGCUCUGCUGCGUACGCUGUCAGAAAGAUACACGCAGAUGGCAGCUCUGAAGUGGACAAAAAGUGUUUUUUUUUAUAUAUAUAUAUUUUGCGACUAAUAUUGAAUUGUAUAAUUGUAAUUUAAUUAUAAUUAAAUUGUAAUAGACAGCUGUGUUGCUGGGAAGUUUGUUCUUCACCACUUCUUCUUCCCAGCCAUAACACUAGGAAGUGGUGAAAGGGGGGCGUUUUGGGGGUGCUGUCAUUUUGUAUUUUUUGACGUGAAAAAGUGCUAGAAUCUAGCCUAUUUUCAAUAAACGAUUUUGACUUUGA